rnacentral:rRNA from 1 species
GUGCCAGCCGCCGCGGUACUACGGAGGAUCCAAGCGUUAUCCGGAUUUAUUGGGUUUAAAGGGUCCGCAGGCGGGGUAUUAAGUCAGUGGUGAAAGGCUGUCGCUUAACGAUAGCAUUGCCAUUGAUACUGGUACUCUUGAGUGUAGUUGAGGUGGGCGGAAUAAGUCAUGUAGCGGUGAAAUGCAUAGAUAUGACUUAGAACACCGAUUGCGAAGGCAGCUCACUAAACUACUACUGACGCUGAGGGACGAAAGCGGGGGGAGCGAACAGGAUUAGAUACCCGAGUAGUCC